GGAAGCGGGACGGGAAGGCGGAACUCGUAGAGUGGGAAUUGGCUCCCCCGUGAGGGAGGACGUUAAUCUAUUCGUGAGGGAUUGGCCCUCAUGACGCAGGCACCUCUCGUCAGGCCCUAACGCCAACAUUGGGGAUCAAUUUCAACAUGAGGUUUGGAGAGGACAAAUGCCCAAACCAUAGCAGUUGGAGACUUGUUGAAUGUUUCUUAAGAAAGAAGCAAAAGCGAUUCCGAUUCUCUGAGAUCUCCAAAGACAGAUGCGAAACCCGGAGGAAACUAGUCUCGACCUGAAGUCAGUCCCGUCAGUUGUGCCCUGUAGAAACAACCAUCCAUCCUAGGAGACAUAUCAGAUACACACAAUGGACAAACUCCUGUUUUCUCAUUUGUAAUUUGUGAAGAAAGCACUAGUCGACUUAGUAAUUCACUGAGAACGCCGAAUGUUCAGCACUAACACGGGGUUGGAAAGACGACCAUUGCCAUACCCAUGCUCAUGAAGCUGAAAUAUUUCCUACUGCUGCUAUCACACUGAAUAAAAGAAUUCACAAGGCUU